rnacentral:rRNA from 1 species
UACGUAGGUGGCAAGCGUUGUCCGGAAUUAUUGGGCGUAAAGCGCGCGCAGGCGGUCCUUUAAGUCUGAUGUGAAAGCCCACGGCUCAACCGUGGAGGGUCAUUGGAAACUGGGGGACUUGAGUGCAGGAGAGAAGAGUGGAAUUCCACGUGUAGCGGUGAAAUGCGUAGAGAUGUGGAGGAACACCAGUGGCGAAGGCGACUCUUUGGUCUGUAACUGACGCUGAGGCACGAAAGCUAGGGGAGCAAACGGG